rnacentral:rRNA from 1 species
UACGUAGGGUGCAAGCGUUAAUCGGAAUUACUGGGCGUAAAGCGUGCGCAGGCGGUUUUGUAAGUUUGUCGUGAAAUCCCCGGGCUCAACCUGGGAAUGGCGAUGAAGACUGCAAGGCUAGAAUCUGGCAGAGGGGGGUAGAAUUCCACGUGUAGCAGUGAAAUGCGUAGAUAUCAAGAGGAACACCAGUGGCGAAGGCGAGUCCCUGGACAAUACCUGACACUGAGGCACGAAAGCCGGGGGAGCAAACAGG